rnacentral:lncRNA from 1 species
GGGCGGAGACGGCGGGGGGGGGCGGGAGCGGGACCCUCAACCGGAGAACCACGCCGGUCUAGGGGGCCCCAAACCGGCCGGAAUUCACCCCAAAACCGGCCCCAAACCGGCCGGAAUUCACCCCAAAAUCGGCCCCAAACCGGCCCCAAAUUAUCCCGAAAUUAUCCCAAAAUUAUCCCGAAAUUUUCCCAAAUACACCCCAAAAUCGGCCCCAAAUUCAGCCCGAAAUCAGCACAAAUUCACCCCAAAAUCAGCCCAAAAUCAGCCCAAAAUUAUCCCAAAAUUAUCCCCAAUUCACCCCAAAAUUCAUCCAAAAUCGGCCCGAAAUUAUCCCAAAAUUAUCCCAAAAUCAGCGCGAAAUUAUCCCAAAAUUAUCCCAAAUUCACCACAAAAUUCAUCCAAAAUCACCCAAAAUUCACCCAAAAUCACCCCAAAAAUCCCCCAAAAUUCACUUUUCAGAUUUACCCAAAAUUCACCCCAAAUUCACGGGGAUCCCCCAAAAUCCCCCUCAGGACCCCAAAAUCCGGGUGCCAAAAAUCGUCAAUUUUUUGGAGCCCCAAAAUCGUCAUUUUUUGGAUGGAAUUGCCCAAAUUUCCCCUCCCUGGGGGAUCCCAAAAUUCCCUUUUUUCCCCUUCUUUCCCCGUUUUUCCCUUUUUUUCCCAUUCCCCCAUUUUUUGACUUUUUUUUUUUUUUUUUGUUUUUUUUUUCUUUUUUUUGUUUUUUUUUUUUUUUUUUUUUUUUUUUUUUUUUUUUUUUUUUUUUUUUUUUUUUUUUUUUUUUUUUCUCGUUUUUCCCUUUUUUCCCCUUUUUCCCCAUUUUUUGCCCCAUUUUGCCCCUCCCCCCCCACCCCCGGGGGGUCCCAGUGCCUUAAAGGGGGGGGCUGGGACCCCCGGGGUGCCCCCACCAGUUUGGACCAGUACGGACCAGUACGGACCAGUACGGACCAGUUUGGACCAGUUUGGACCAGUUUGACCCAAUUUCCCUAGACCAGUCUGGACCAGUUUGGCCCAGUAACCCCCAAUUUCCCCGGACCAGUUUGGCCCAGUUUGUCCCAGUUUGGACCAGUUUGGC